rnacentral:rRNA from 1 species
GACGAACGCUGGCGGCGUGCUUAACACAUGCAAGUCGAACGGAAAGGCCCUGCUUUUGUGGGGUGCUCGAGUGGCGAACGGGUGAUUAACACGUGAGUAACCUGCCCUUGACUUUGGGAUAACUUCAGGAAACUGGGGCUAAUACCGGAUAGUAGCUCCUGCUGCAUGGUGGGGGUUGGAAAGUUUCGGCGGUUGGGGAUGGACUCGCGGCUUAUCAGCUUGUUGGUGGGGUAGUGGCUUACCAAGGCUUUGACGGGUAGCCGGCCUGAGAGGGUGACCGGCCAAAUUGGGACUGAGAUACGGCACAGACUCCUACGGGAGGCAGCAGAGGAGAAUAGUGCACAAUGGGCGGAAGCCUGAUGCAGCCACGCCGCGUGCGGGAUGACGGCCUUCGGGUUGGAAACCGCUGUCGCCUGUGACGAAGAGUGAGUGACGGUAAUGGGUAAAGAAGCACCGGCUAACUACGUG